rnacentral:misc_RNA from 1 species
CACGUAGGGACCGAGCGUUGUCCGGAUUUAUCGGGCGUAAAGAGCUCGUAGGCGGUUGCGUAAGUCGGAUGUGAAAACUCAGGGCUCAACCCUGAGACGCCAUCUGAUACUGCGCUGACUAGAGUCCGGUAGGGGAGCAUGGAAUUCCUGGUGUAGCGGUGAAAUGCGCAGAUAUCAGGAGGAACACCAGUAGCGAAGGCGGUGCUCUGGGCCGGUACUGACGCUGAGGAGCGAAAGUAUGGGGAGCAAACAGG